GGCUCUCAAACUGAUUCAGAUGUGCGGCUCGGUAACCUCAGAAGCCACCCUGUGAGCAGAGGAGGCCUUGGAUCCUACAGGCCCAGACCUUCCCUCCUGCCUGCCCCCCAGGAGGCCUCUGGGCAAUCCUGAGCAGCCCUCUGCUGACCUGUGUCUCAAGGUGAAGGAGUCGCAGAAACAGCGUUGUGUCAAGAAACAAAGGCUGGACUCCUCCAAUGACCCCACAAGGAAGGAAGCACAAGCCUUCACCAUCGGAAAAAACAAAACAAAACUCUGAAGCUCAAUGAAGUUAAAGGAUUUGUCCAAAUCCUAUAGUUGGUAACACCAAAAGUUGAACCUAGUCAUUCAUUCGUAUGUUUAUUCGUUCAUUCAAUAAGUAUUUAUUGGUGCCAGGUCCUGUGACGCUGUUCCAAGCAUGGGAUGGGGGCUGAAGAACACAGCCGUGGAUCAUACGUAGCCUUAUUCUAGUGGGAGA
rnacentral:lncRNA from 1 species